rnacentral:rRNA from 1 species
UGCCAGUCAUAUGCUUGUCUCAAAGAUUAAGCCAUGCAUGUCUGAGUACAGACCGAUCUAAGGUGAAACCGCGAAUGGCUCAUUAAAUCAGCUAUAAUUCCUUGGAUAGUGAAAAACUUUCCUCGGAUAACUGUGGAAAAUCCAGAGCUAAUACGUGCAACUGAGCUCCGACCUAGGCGUGAGUCGUGGGAAGAGCGCAUUUAUUAGAUUCAAAACUGACCGGCGUACUCCCUCGGGAUGCGCCGUUUGUCAAAAGUUUGAUGAUUCCGGAUAACUUUAGCCGAGCGCUACGGUCUUUAGUACCGGCGCCGUAUCUUUCAAGUGUCUGCCUUAUCAGCUUUCGAUUGUAGGUUAAACGCCUACAAUGGCUGUAACGGGUAACGGGGAAUCAGGGUUCGAUUCCGGAGAGGGAGCCUGAGAAACGGCUACCACAUCUAAGGAAGGCAGCAGGCACGCAAAUUACCCACUCCCAGCCCGGGGAGGUAGUGACGAAAAAUAACGAUGCGAGACUCUUCCGAGGCCUCGCAAUCGGAAUGAGUCCAUUUUAAAUCCUUGGACGAGGAUCCAUUGGAGGGCAAGUCUGGUGCCAGCAGCCGCGGUAAUUCCAGCUCCAAUAGCGUAUAUUAAAGUUGCUGCGGUUAAAAAGCUCGUAGUUGGACUUUCUAGAUCCAUUUCGUGGGUGAGUCGCUCUUUUUACUAGCGUCUCGUGCCGUCCCCUGAUGACGUCGCCGCGGCGUUCUUCUUUCUCGGCUUCUGUCGAUUAAGGAUUUCCCGGCGUUACMCAAUCUCGCGGGCGUCGAGGCGUUGUUUUAGAGUAUAGCUCGUCCGCGUUUGGUACAAUUAAAAUUUUGUCGGCUCGCUCGGAGUGCUCUUUACCGAGUGUUCCAGGGUGGCUGACMCGUUCACUUUGAAAAAAUUAGAGUGCUUAAAGCAUGGCUUAUUUACGGCCUGAAUGUCUGUGCAUGGAAUGAAGUAACAGGACCUCGAUUCUGUUGUUUUUGUCGGUUUUAAUGAACCGAGGUAAUGAUUAAAAGGGACAGACGGUGGCAUUAGUAUUGCGACGCUAGAGGUGAAAUUCUUGGACCGUCGCAAGACUAACUACUGCGAAAGCAUUUGCCGAGAAUGUUUUCAUUAAUCAAGAACGAAAGUUAGAGGAUCGAAGGCGAUCAGAUACCGCCCUAGUUCUAACCCUAAACUAUGCUAACUAGCGAUCCGCCGGAGUCAUUCCCACGACCCGGCGGGAAGCCCCAGGGAAACCAAAGUCUUUGAGUUCCGGGGGAAGUAUGGUUGCAAAGCUGAAACUUAAAGGAAUUGACGGAAGGGCACCACCAGGAGUGGAGCCUGCGGCUUAAUUUGACUCAACACGGGAAACCUCACCAGGCCCGGACAUCAUUAGGAUUGACAGGUUGAGAGCUCUUUCUCGAUUUGAUGGGUGGUGGUGCAUGGCCGUUCUUAGUUGGUGGAGUGAUUUGUCUGGUUGAUUCCGAUAACGAACGAGAUUCUACCCUACUAACUAGUCGGCGGAUCGUAACCCUGAGAUGGUUAGUUUGUAUAGGAGAGUUUUGCCUAGGCGAACGAUCGGUCGAAGGAGAAGAGGGGUAGUGGCUCUGUUUUGUUAUUCUCUAGCGGAGUGUUCGACCUUUCUCUCUCUAAAGAUUUGAGACUUUGUCUAAUCGGCUUUCUGAUUGCAACUACUGCUGGGGGCGUCCGUCCCAUUAUAUCUUCUUAUAGGGAUCAGCGGCGUAUAGCCGCACGACAAAAAGCAAUAACAGGUCUGUGAUGCCCUUACAUGUUCUGGGCCGCACGCGCGCUACACUGUAAGGCUCAGCGUGCUUUCCCCCUCCCAUCGGAGCGGGUAACCCGUUGAAACCCCUACC